AACGUAGGAGGCGAGCGUUAUCCGGAUUUACUGGGCGUAAAGCGUACGCAGGUGGCUUCGUGAGUCGGACAUGAAAGCUCCCGGCUUAACUGGGAGAGGUUGUUCGAUACUGCGGGGCUUGAGGUUGGGAGAGGGACGUGGAAUUCCCGGUGUAGUGGUGGAAUGCGUAGAUAUCGGGAGGAACACCAGUGGCGCAAGCGGCGUCCUGGCCCACACCUGACGCUGAGGUACGAAAGCGUGGGUAGCAAACAGGAUUAGAAACCCUAGUAGUCC
rnacentral:rRNA from 1 species